GACGUAGGGUGCAAGCGUUGUCCGGAUUUAUUGGGCGUAAAGAGCUCGUAGGCGGCGUGUUGCGUCGACCGUGAAAACCUAUCCGCUUAACGGUGGGCUUGCGGUCGAUACGGGCACGCUAGAGUUCGGUAGGGGAGACUGGAAUUCCUGGUGUAGCGGUGAAAUGCGCAGAUAUCAGGAGGAACACCGGUGGCGAAGGCGGGUCUCUGGGCCGAUACUGACGCUGAGGAGCGAAAGCGUGGGGAGCGAACAGGAUUAGAUACCCUGGUAGUCCACGCUGUAAACGUUGGGCGCUAGGUGUGGGGGCCUCUCCAGGUCUCCGUGCCGCAGCUAACGCAUUAAGCGCCCCGCCUGGGGAGUACGGCCGCAAGGCUAAA
rnacentral:rRNA from 1 species